CCCAUCUCACGCUUAGUCUGGCUCCCUGUUCUGCCGGGAUCAGAUCAUCCACUGGUCCUGGUCCUGCUCUGCCCCUUCCAUGUCCACCUCAUUGAUCUCCCCAUCAUCGGGAGACUCGUUGUAAUCGUUCAUCUCAUCCAUAUCCUGCAUGUCUUCAUCAUCCUCAGAGUCCUCUUCGCUGUCUUCAUCAUCCUCGUCGUCCUCCUCCUCCUCCUCAUCAUAGUGCUCCGAGGCCGGCUUCCCAAUGGGCACCAGGUUGUUGUCCUUCUCUGCGAUGCUCUGGAGCCAGGCCUGGUGCUGCUGCUCCUGCUGCUGCAGUUCGGUCUCGUCCACGCACGGCCGGUCCAGGUUGAACCACAGCGGCUCGGUCAGGCGCGGCAGCAGGGAAGGGAAUAGAGUGGACAUGGCGCCCACCAGGCCCCGCCGCAGCGGCCGACCCGGA
rnacentral:lncRNA from 1 species